UACGGAAGGCAGCAGUGGGGAAUAUUGCACAAUGGGCGAAAGCCUGAUGCAGCUAUGCCGCGUGUAUGAAGAAGGGCCUUAGGGUUGUAAAGUACUUUCAGCAGGGAGGAAAGAAAUAAAACUAAUAAUUUUAUUUUGUGACGUUACCUGAAGAAGAAGCACCGGCUAACUCCGUGCCAGCAGCCGCGGUAAUACGGAGGGUGCAAGCGUUAAUCAGAAUUACUGGGCGUAAAGAGCGCGUAGGUGGUUUUUUUAAGUCAGAUGUGAAAUCCCUAGGCUUAACCUAGGAACUGCAUUUUGAAACUGAAAAACUAGAGUAUCGUAGAGGGAGGUAGAAUUCUAGGUGUAGCGGUGAAAUGCGUAGAUAUCUGGAGGAAUACCUGUGGCGAAAGCGGCCUCCUAAACGAAUACUGACACUGAGGUGCGAAAGCGUGGGGAGCAAACAGGGAUUAGAUACC
rnacentral:rRNA from 1 species